CUCCCUCCCUCCCUCCCUCCCUCCCUGUCUGUCUGUCUGUCUGUCUGUCUCUCUCUCUCUCUCUCUCUCUCUCUCUCUCUCUCUCUCUCUCUCUCUCUCUCUCUCUCUCUCUCUCUCUCUCUCUCUAAUUUAGACUCUACAACACCUGAGGCCAGCACUACAGAACAAAUAACCACAGUUGAUAACACAACACAACUGACCACAGUUACCAACUCUACAACACCUGAGGCCAGCACUACAGAACAAAUAACCACAAUUGAUAACACAACACAACUGACCACAGUUACCAACUCUACAACACCUGAGGCCAGCACUACAGAACAAAUAACUACAGUUGAUAACACAACACAACUGAUCACAGUUACCAACUCUACGACACCUGAGGCCAGCACUACAGAACAAAUGACCAAAGUUACCAACUCUACAACAACUCCACCCACAACAGGACAAAGUACUACAGCUGACCCCACAACACAACUGACCACAAUUACCAACUUUACUACACCUGCAGCUACAACAAAUCAGACCACUACAGUUGACCCCACAACACAACCGACCACAGACACGAGUAAGUGUCAUCAACUUCUGUAUAACAAAACCUGUCUGAAGCAGACCUAACAACCUGUUACUUCUCUGCUGUAGACUCUACUGCACCCACAAAUACAUUAACUACUGAAUCAACACCAGCAUUAAGUACAAAAACAACACCACCAACUGUGAUAAUACCACCACCAACCACAAUUGCAAAACCUGCUGGUGUGUGUAAGAAUAGAGGAUGUUUCUGAAGACUUCUAAAUGAAUCCUGACCACAUUCACCAGUAGGUGAACCAUAGUUCACCAAACAGAUCUAACAAUGUAACAGUCUGUCACUACUGUAUAUAACCGCUUUGCUGUAGCCUCUGCAACACUUUAGCCCACAACAGAACAGAGAACAACCACCACAGGUAGCACAGGUGUUGUUCUGUGAUCCCACCUCCAGUUUUGUACUGUAGCUUUCACUUACUACUAAGCCAUGUGUCUCUCCCAACAGGAACUACAGUAACUACUGAACCACCACCAGCAACUACAAAAACGACACCACCAACAACAAUACCACCAACAACACCACCAACAACAGUACCACCACCAACAACAAUACCACCACCAACACCACCAACACCACCAACAACAACACCACCAACACCACCAACAACAACACCACCAUCAACUACAAAACCAGCUGGUAUGUGUAAGAAUAGAAGAUGUUUCUGAACACUGCUGAAUGAAUCCUGAUUAUGCCAUGAUUAUGAAAAAUCAUGAAUCAAUCAUGAACCUUGAUGGGUGAGAAGGUUACAGAGGCUACAACAAAACAUGUUAACCUCUCACCAUUAGCAAUAGCAUUUUUGGGGUGUAUGAUGUGCCUCUGUUAAUUUCUCAGUCAUUAUUAUUCACGAUUCAUUCACAUUUAUCCAUAAUCAUGGUAGCAUCCACAUUCAUGUAGAAGUGUUCAGAGACAUCUUCUAUUCUUACUUACAAUAAAAGGGUCUCCAAAAUGACACAAUGCAUUAUUCACCAUUCAGUUCCUAUAGGGAAAAAUAUCAUCUGAUCAUCAUUAUGCAAAUGCAUUCAAUGAGUUUGUUGAGUCACAAGCUUGAUUUAGUCGUUGAGUGCAAGGAAUAUGAGAACAAAUACUACACUUGUGACUACUUUACUACACUAUAAGUACAUUUUUCUUAUGACUUUCUCAAAUGUGGGGACAAGAUACAUAAAGUGCUUUAAUUUCUUUAUUUUUUAAUAUUUUUUUAUUUUUCAUUUUUAUAAAAAAACAAAAAUGGUAUUUCAUGGUAUCAGUCAGUUCAGUUGAGUCAGACUCAUCACUGCAACUCCCGUACGGACUCGUUCGAGGCGAAGGUCAAGAGCUGUGCGUCCUCCGAAACACAACCCAACCAAGCCGUACUGCCUCUGGACACAAUGCCCACUUAACCCGGAAGCCAGCCGCACCAAUGUGUUGGAGGAAACACCGUACACCUGGCGACCGUGUCAGCGUGCAUUGUGCCCGGCCAGCCACAGGAGUCUCUAGUACGCGAUGGGACAAGGACAUCCCUGCCGGCCAAACCUUCCCCUAACCCGGAAGAUGCUGGGACAAUUGUGCGCCGCCCCAUGGGUCUUCCGGUCGCGGCCGGCUGUGACAGAGCCUGGACUCGAACCCAAAAUCUCUAAUCUCAGGGCCACUCGGGAGGCCCUGUGCUUUAAUUUCUAAACAGUAAAACAGACAUGUAUGAAAAUACCCUCAAAUAACAGGACACAUUCUGUACUGUUGCCUCAUAUGAAACAUUUGAUCUCAAUUCCAAAAGGCUGGAGUAUAAAACCAAAUGUAACACUUUAUCUCCACUGUCCAAAUCCAUAUGGAGGGGAGUAAAUAAUAGGAUACACAGUAUAGGUAGCAACAAUGCCAUUCCAUUUAAGCACAUUUGUCAUUCUUCUUCUUUUGUUU
ensembl:lncRNA